GCAAUUGCCAACAGUGUAAACGAAGGAUAGAGCAUAUCCAUUACAUAUAAGCUGCAGAGGAGACACAGGAGUAGUUUUCUUAGACAUCUGUAAGAGUGGUGUCAAGAUUGAGCAAGUGCUUUCAUGCUGAGUUCUCUUUCCUUUUGUUUAGCGAAGUUUAUCUUGUAGGGACCUUUGGUCCAGUUUCCCUCUGCUUUCCACAUGGUAUUUUCACUUGCACUGUAGCUACAGCAUAGCUGGUUUGUUACUUUCCUCUUCCUGGGCUGGUGAUGACAAAAUGAUACCAUUCUCAUCACAGAGGGUUAUAUAUCUAUUCAUAACAGCGUUGAAAGAUGACACAGGGUAAAUGCAAAGAAGCAUCAAGGUCCUCAUGAUUUUAUUUGAGAGAGAGGUAUUUCUGGUAGUCUAAAGGAAAUCCAUUUCAGCUGUUGCCUGAAUUACCAAGGCAUGAAAACACAUUUCUCACAAUCUAUGAAAAUUCUUUAGUCAUUUCAUGUGCUCACUCUCAAAGCAAUCCAAAAGCUGUCAUAUUCGCAAUACUGAAUGAGUACACUCAAUGAUACUCAUAAGUCAAAUUAAGGUAGGCAUAUUCAGAAGAAUAAAAUUUUGUCUAAAAAUAGUCUCAUUUUCUCCGAUUUGGAAGCCCCAAGACAUUUUUUCUGUUUGCACAUAUAGCAGCAUUUACAUUACUGUUCAUCCUGGCUACAAAGUCACUGGACAACCCUGAAAGAGAAUGACCACAGAUGAAAAAGCAACUAUGAAGUCCCAUUAAGGUUUUGUUAUUACAAACCUAUUUUUAGAAAGCUUCAGUCUUUUGAAGAGAGUAACCACUUUGCAUAACAGCACAGACUAAUUGAGGAAGAUCUAUAAGAGUAGUGGUAAAGGCAUUCCAGAAAGCUAUACCUCAAAACUCCACAGCAGCCACUAAUAACUCCAUGUAAGGUGUAGGUGAAAAGGAAAUAAGUGUUUCUUUUCCAAUCUGAAUUGGAACAAUGGCACUUCUGGAACGCACAGUGGUAGUGGAAGAGGCUGAAGACUUUUGUGCGAACUCCAAGGAGCUUUGUGAAGAUCUUCGUACACAUUGAUGAGAAACAUCUUCCUACCCCCGCCCCAAGCCUUUACUUCUCGAGACUGAACAGUUCCAGCUCCCUCAUCCUUUCAUUGUAUGUAAGAUACUCCAGCCCAGGAUACUGUUGGACUCUUGCUGCAAGGACACACUGCUGGCUCAUGUCCAAUUUGUUGUCCAGGAACACCUAUGUUUCUACUGCCAUCAUACAGCUUACAAGUAACAUUUAUUAGUCUGUUUAUUAGACGUGUUAAUGCAAUCAUUUCUACUGAGUUUUCUGAAUGGUGAUAAGUCAGAGUUGAACAGGCCAGGUGGUUCUUGUCUUUGU